AGAAUCCCGUCCAGUUUAGCUUGACCAGCAACUGGAAGCGAGUGUUGCGUGGUACUGAGGUAACUCACUCCACGAAGCGUACACAGCGAAUCCGAAAGCCAUGCUAUUGAGCUUCGAAAGGCCUUUCGUGGGAGCCUUUGCUUUUUGCAUACCAAGGGCCACGCUGCUGCGUCGUAAUGGUUUGACGCAAGCAGUCCUGCCGGAGUCGGUUUGGAACA
rnacentral:ncRNA from 1 species